AAUGAUCAAGAACUUGUUUGACUGAAGAGAUAGAAUGAAAAGGGAAGACCCAAAAGUGUUUUAUAACAGAAUGCGCAAGAUGGUUUGCAUCAUGGUUAUGAAGGAAAAGCUGACAGUAUUUUUGAGACAGCAAGAAAAACAUCAUUGCACACCACCAACUAAUAAGACUCCAAAGGAAUAACAAAGAUUAGAGUUUAAAGAAUGGAUUCAAUGCUGGUACUUGGAUAAAGAUAAUCAGGCAUGGACUCUCAUCUCCUAUGGAUCUUCAGCACCUUUAGGUUACAGUUUUAUAUUUCAUAAGAAGAGACUCAUAAAUAAACAAAGGACAGUCAGUUACUACAAAAGAGAAGCAUUGGAGAUUAGUGAUAUUUUG